rnacentral:lncRNA from 1 species
CAGAUUCUCCGUCUCCAUGGCCCGUAUCUCCUCCAGCUCCUGCUCCCUCUUCGCCAUCCUCACCACCGCCGCAUCGCCCCUCCCCGACGGUCGCGGCGCCGCCGCCAGUCCCGCGAACCGCGUCGCCGGCGCGCCAAAUGAGCGGAGGCCGAGGAAUGGCGCUCGGGGCGCGGACACGGCGAGGCCGCGGGGAGUGGAGGCGGUGAGGGGUGAGGCCGCGGCGAGGGACAUCGUCGCCAUCUUCGUGUUGCGCUCUCUGCUCGCGUUUUGCUGCUUGGGCUCGAGGAUAAGGGGAUGAUGGGGUUUAUCUGAUUGUCUAGGUGGCCUUCGGUGUUGCAC